GUGGGGAAUCUUGCGCAAUGGGCGAAAGCCUGACGCAGCCAUGCCGCGUGAAUGAUGAAGGUCUUAGGAUUGUAAAAUUCUUUCACCGGGGACGAUAAUGACGGUACCCGGAGAAGAAGCCCCGGCUAACUUCGUGCCAGCAGCCGCGGUAAUACGAAGGGGGCUAGCGUUGCUCGGAAUUACUGGGCGUAAAGGGAGCGUAGGCGGAUAGUUCAGUCAGAGGUGAAAGCCCAGGGCUCAACCUUGGAAUUGCCUUUGAUACUGGCUGUCUUGAGUAUGGGAGAGGUUAGCGGAACUCCGAGUGUAGAGGUGAAAUUCGUAGAUAUUCGGAAGAACACCAGUGGCGAAAGCGGCUAACUGGCCCAUUACUGACGCUGAGGCUCGAAAGCGUGGGGAGCAAACAGGAUUAGAUACCCCGGUAGUCC
rnacentral:rRNA from 1 species